AGUGAACGCUGGCGGUAGGCCUAACACAUGCAAGUCGAACGGCAGCACAGUAAGAGCUUGCUCUUACGGGUGGCGAGUGGCGGACGGGUGAGGUAUACAUCGGAAUCUACUUUUUCGUGGGGGAUAACGUAGGGAAACUUACGCUAAUACCGCAUACGACCUACGGGUGAAAGCAGGGGAUCUUCGGACCUUGCGCGAUUGAAUGAGCCGAUGUCGGAUUAGUUAGUUGGCGGGGUAAAGGCCCACCCUGUCGCCGAUCCGUAGCUGGUCUGAGAGGAUGAUCAGCCACACUGGAACUGAGCCACGGUCCAGACGCCUACGGGAGGCAGCAGUGGGGAAUAUUGGACAAUAGGCGGAAGCCUGAUCCAGCGAUACCGCGUGGGUGACGAAGGCCUUCGGGUUGUAAAGCCCUUUUGUUGGGAAAGAAAAGCAGCCGGUUAAUACCACGCUGUUCUGACGGUACCCAAAGAAUAAGCACCGGCUAACUUCGUG
rnacentral:rRNA from 1 species